GGAGAAUUCGUCGAUUUCGAUGGCUGAUGAUGAGGUACGUUGACAUGGGUCGUCAUAGGUGAAGAACAUCAGCUGAUGGAGAGGAGAAGUUGAGAAUGAAUGAAUGUCAACUGCACUAGGGAGUCAAGCAAUGAGGGAGCCAAGAGUUGCAGUUCAAACAACACGUGAUAUUGAUAUCAUAGAUGAUGGGUAUAGAUGGAGAAAAUAUGGUCAGAAAGUGGUUAAAGGAAAUCCUAAUCCAAGGAAGGGCGCCCACUCCGCCCAGGUUUGAAACAAGCUGUUGAUUAUAUUAAAGAGAAGCUGGAGUUGCUGAAGAAUCGAGCCAACUCGAACUUUAGAUUGACUCAGAUAUUCAUGGCGAGUUGACUCUGGCUCAAUACCGAACUCGAGCUUCCUCCGUCAUUUCUGGAAUAUUAGGGGUUUUUUAUUUCAAUCAAAUUCGAGGCGAAUAGGUCGGCGAAAUUGAAGCAGUGUAAGCUUGAUGCUCGCCGUGAACAAUGGCUUUUGCAAGAUUAAUGAAGGAAAGAUCUGAAAUUUUGAAAGAAAGGAGGAAGAUGAAGGUGAAAAUUAAAGAAAAACGGUCAUAGUCUGCAUUUGUCUCUUACAUGUGGUUUUUGUAUUGACAGGCCCUCUUUUACACUCAUGGAUGAUGAUUUAGAAGAAGGUAUGGUAAAUAACACCCACUGGAAUAUCAUACUUACCUUUCUUUUCUGUUUGGGAGACUGAAUCUGCCUUGAGGUGUGUUCUUGAAUGAAUUCUAGAUAAAGCUGAUGAGGAUGAUUUUGCAAGAUCAUAUUUGGGCAUACAAUCUUUGAUCACAUUCGUAAAAAGGCCAAAGAUUUCCCUGCUGUGAAAAAUUCCAGUGUCAUUCACUCUCCUACGUCAGAAAUGUCAAACACUUCAGAAAGAUAACAUUUGGGCCAUCCUAACAUCAAUGAAGAUGCCACUGUUAAUCAAGACACUAUUGAUGUUUUAGAGUCCACAGGUUUUCGUGGGGAGUUUUAUUGCAGUUGGUUAGAGAGAAGUAAAGAUUGGGAAUCCUUCAAGUUUCACCAUUUUUGUGACUGCCUUUUCCGCCAUUUUUGAAUUCUUAUAUUCUUUCUCCUCUGGUGGAGGACUUGCGGCUGAAUCAUCCUUCAAGUUUCACGGCAAAACAAGAGAUAGGGUAAUGAAAGAAAAAGGUGAAACACUUGGGUAGAGUUUUGUAUUCAGGCUAUUGGUUUUUUUUUUGUAAGCUUCUUUGUUUGGGCCCAAUAUUUAAGCCCAAUGUUUUCCUUUAAUGGGUUUACGUUGGCAUCAUUAUGUUAAGUUUCUAUCACUGCAUAAUUACUUUUA